CCUUCCGUAGGGUGAACCUGCGGAAGGAUCAUUACCGAGUGAGGGCCCUCUGGGUCCAACCUCCCACCCGUGUUUAUUUUACCUUGUUGCUUCGGCGGGCCCGCCUUAACUGGCCGCCGGGGGGCUUACGCCCCCGGGCCCGCGCCCGCCGAAGACACCCUCGAACUCUGUCUGAAGAUUGAAGUCUGAGUGAAAAUAUAAAUUAUUUAAAACUUUCAACAACGGAUCUCUUGGUUCCGGCAUCGAUGAAGAACGCAGCGAAAUGCGAUACGUAAUGUGAAUUGCAAAUUCAGUGAAUCAUCGAGUCUUUGAACGCACAUUGCGCCCCCUGGUAUUCCGGGGGGCAUGCCUGUCCGAGCGUCAUUGCUGCCCUCAAGCCCGGCUUGUGUGUUGGGCCCCGUCCCCCGAUCUCCGGGGGACGGGCCCGAAAGGCAGCGGCGGCACCGCGUCCGGUCCUCGAGCGUAUGGGGCUUUGUCACCCGCUCUGUAGGCCCGGCCGGCGCUUGCCGAUCAACCCAAAUUUUUAUCCAGGUGACCUCGGAUCAGGUUGG
rnacentral:rRNA from 1 species